rnacentral:rRNA from 1 species
GACGAACGCUGGCGGCGUGCUUAACACAUGCAAGUCGAACGGAAAGGCCCUGCUUUUGUGGGGUGCUCGAGUGGCGAACGGGUGAGUAACACGUGAGUAACCUGCCCUUGACUUUGGGAUAACUUCAGGAAACUGGGGCUAAUACCGGAUAGGAGCUCCUGCUGCAUGGUGGGGGUUGGAAAGUUUCGGCGGUUGGGGAUGGACUCGCGGCUUAUCAGCUUGUUGGUGGGGUAGUGGCUUACCAAGGCUUUGACGGGUAGCCGGCCUGAGAGGGUGACCGGCCACCUUGGGCCUGAGAGACGGCCCAGACUCCUACGGGAGGCAGCAGUGGGGAAUAUUGCACAAUGGGCGGAAGCCUGAUGCAGCAACGCCGCGUUCGGGAUGACGGCCUUCGGGUUGUAAACCGCUUUCGCCUGUGACGAAGCGUGAGUGACGGUAAUGGGUAAAGAAGCACCGGCUAACUACGUG